GAGGUUGUGGCUCAGCGGUAGAGCGCUUGCCUUGCAUGUGCAAGGCCCUGGGUUCAAUCCUCAGCACCACA
rnacentral:tRNA from 1 species